rnacentral:rRNA from 1 species
UACGGGGGGGAGCAAGCGUUGUUCGGAUUUACUGGGCGUAAAGGGCGCGUAGGCGGCCACCGCAAGUCGAUUGUGAAAUCUCCGGGCUUAACCCGGAAAGGUCAACCGAUACUGCGGGGGCUAGAGUGCAGAAGGGGCAACUGGAAUUCUCGGUGUAGCGGUGAAAUGCGUAGAUAUCUGGAGGAACACCGGUGGCGAAGGCGACAUCCUGGACCGGUAUUGACGCUGAGGCGCGAAAGCUAGGGGAGCAAACGGG